AUAUUUUCUUUGAUACUUGCAAGACAACUACUACUUGCCUAAAGAGUUGAAUUAUGUAGUAUUUAUGUGGUUAAUUAUUUGUGCAUCUAUUUUGUUAACACUUUGCUUUUGAUAGAUGAUAUACGAUGUUUUAACAUAGAAUCCUUUAAAAUGCAGGCGAUUAAGAAAGCUAAUGCUCGGGUGACCAAAUAAGCUUCGUAUCGGGAAGGCACAUUAGUAGUGAUUCAGUAUUCGCCAACUUCCGAACUAGUUACGUACUGGAUUAUAGGGAUUUGCAGAGGGGCAGAAGAGAAAGACGACGAAGGGUUAACAAAGUUUUACCUACAUCACCGGUUACAAGCGAGUUUCUAGGGUUGUCAGUGCCUCGCGAAAUCGAUGGCGAGUUUUGUCGACGGUUAAUGGAAAUUAAUGGUUCAUUCUGGCGGAAAAUGUGAGCAAGAGAAGAAAGAAGGAGAGAGGAACAGAGUGAGAAGCGAGGGUUGUCGCCACAGUCGUCAUAGGAGUCGAAUGCCAAUAUAGGGUAAUUCUCCACUUCAGAUUAUUCUGCAUUAUCGUUAUCAUAUUUAAAAGAAGGCGUCAUGGUCACGCGCAGAUUACCGAUAUUCGAUUCCAACUGUGCCGUUAAAUAAUAUAUCGAAGUUUGUCGAAGCUGAAGUGCGCCGCGUGCAUGUGAUAUGAUUAAUAAAUAUUUUUAUCUGAUUCCUUCGAUAAGCUCUGACCUGUCGUCUGUUCGCCAAUAAUGCGAUAAGCAAAAGGAUGAAAAUUCGCGAAGCGAAUUAUUCAAUCAGCUGAUGAUUUUGAUAAAUCUCCGGUGUCGGGAUAAUUUCUAUCCGAGAUAUCUUUCCCUUAAAUAACGUGGUUUAUAAAUCGAGCAUUGAAUGUGUCUUAUACAUAUAGCUCUUCGAUUUUGCCAGACAUCAAGGAGGAUAUAACAAGCACAAUAUCGAUUGCUAAUAAUUACGUGCAAUAGUAAACUGUUGUAUCUUUCACUGCUUUUAGAAUCAAAUCAAUAAUCUGGCAUUAUAUAUAACAGCGUGCAUUCGCAAAGUUGCACCGUACAUUAUUUAGAACUGACAGUAAAAUUGGAUGAAAUUAAUUACUUCUCACAGUUCAGCUGGCUUCGCGUGUGUAGCAGGGGGAUCACUCUAUAAACGUUUAUAUUGUUCAUACGUUUAAUUCACGGCUAUUCGUCUUCCAAUUUUGACGUUAAUCUCGCGAGGGUGCGAAGGGAUCUGGAAGGGGGAAGGGAGAAAAAUAGCGCGAUUCCGAUGACCUAUUUAGGAGUUUAUGAUCGUACCUAUCACAUUUCUGAUCCGGCUCAGAGUAAUGGCCGAAAAACCAUUCGCAUGUCCGCGCAAACUAUAAAUAAUCGUCGACGUCGAUCUCGGACGAUGAUUUAUGGUUAAUUCAGCUGCAUUUUCUCUGGCGCGUGAAUAUGUGCACGGCCGAUAUGCGCACGCACGUGUGUGGGCAUCCCAACGAGUUUUUUUUGCAGUGAUUGUAACUGCCAGUCAUACCUGAUCGAAUGCAUUUUGCGAAGAUUUAUCGCCCGUGAGUUUUCACGCUAUUUUCGUUAUUGUCUUGUAUGUGUAUGUGUGCACACAAUAAAAUCUUCCGAGGAACAAUCGGAACAAAUUCAA